CCCUUAGAUGUUCUGGGCCGCACGCGCGCUACAAUGUGAUCAUCAACAAGCAUUCCUUGGCCGUCAGGUCUGGGCAAUCUUCUAACCGAUCACAUGAUGGGGCUAGACCCUUGUAAUUAUUGGUCUCCAACGAGGAAUUCCUAGUAAACGCAAGUCAACAACUUGCAUUGAAUACGUCCCUGCCCUUUGUACACACCGCCCGUCGCACCUACCGAUUGAAUGGUCCGGUGAACUCUUGGGACUGCCAGAUUCACCUCCGGCAUAAGUUGAAUGAACCUUACCAUUUAGAGGAAGGUGAAGUCGUAACA
rnacentral:rRNA from 1 species